GAGACCCUAGUUUAACAAAAACAUCUUGUUGUUAACGAGAAGAGGGGAUUUUAGUGAUCCUGUGUCUUG
rnacentral:tRNA from 1 species